rnacentral:rRNA from 1 species
UUUGCAGAGAGAGUUAAGAGGACGUGAAACCGGUAAGGUGGAAACGGAUAGAGCUAGCGUAUCUAGCUUGUAUUCAGCCGCUCUGGUUUGGGUGCCCUGUUUGCUGGUCCGGAUUCGGCCAGUUGGCGGGUGUCUCCUGGGCUUUGGUGGUGCAUUUGCAAGUGGAGUGCGCUGAGGCCUGUGGGGCAGCGGUUGGAAGUGCGCUUUGAGGAUACCCUUUGGGGUAAAACCCGGGCGUACCUAAGACUGUUUGCCCUGCUUGUACAUGAGCGUGGCCUACGGGUUUGGCUGGGGCUGAGCUGGUCGCCGGUUACGGUCGCAUGCGACACGUGCUGGUGGUUGGUUUGGUUCUGGUCUGACUCCCUCGCUCGCCCUCGGUGUAAAAGCUAGUCAUCUAUCCGACCCGUCUUGAAACACGGACCAAGGAGUUUAGCGUAUACGCGAGUCAUUGAGUGUAAAACUCAAAGGCGCAAUGAAAGUAAAGGUAUCCCUUGCGGAGCUGAUAUGCGACCUCGGGUGCUUCGGUGCCCGGGAGCAGCAUAGCCCCGUCCUAAUUGCUUGCAAUGGGGCGGAGGUAGAGCGUAUUCGCUGAGACCCGAAAGAUGGUGAACUAUUCCUGAGCAGGAUGAAGCCAGUGGAAACACUGGUGGAAGUCCGAAGCGAUUCUGACGUGCAAAUCGAUCGUCUGACUUGGGUAUAGGGGCGAAAGACUAAUCGAACCAUCUAGUAGCUGUUUCCCUUCCCAAA